rnacentral:rRNA from 1 species
UUCCCCCCCCCCCCCGCCCCGCGCCCGUCCCGCCGCCCCCGCCCGCCUACGGGAGGCAGCAGGGGGGAAUAUUGCACAAUGGGCGAAAGCCUGAUGCAGCAACGCCGCGUGAGGGAUGACGGCCUUCGGGUUGUAAACCUCUUUUAGCAGGGAAGAAGCGAAAGUGACGGUACCUGCAGAAAAAGCGCCGGCUAACUACGUGCCAGCAGCCGCGGUAAUACGUAGGGCGCAAGCGUUAUCCGGAAUUAUUGGGCGUAAAGAGCUCGUAGGCGGUUUGUCGCGUCUGCUGUGAAAUCCCGAGGCUCAACCUCGGGCCUGCAGUGGGUACGGGCAGACUAGAGUGCGGUAGGGGAGAUUGGAAUUCCUGGUGUAGCGGUGGAAUGCGCAGAUAUCAGGAGGAACACCGAUGGCGAAGGCAGAUCUCUGGGCCGUAACUGACGCUGAGGAGCGAAAGGGUGGGGAGCAAACAGGCUUAGAUACCCUGGUAGUCCACCCCGUAAACGUUGGGAACUAGUUGUGGGGACCAUUCCACGGUUUCCGUGACGCAGCUAACGCAUUAAGUCCCCGCCUGGAGACGCCAAGUGU